AAAGGUAAUAUAAACAGAACAGCUAGACCAGUCUGGUAAGUUCCAAAAAAUACAUCACUUCACUGUAAUGCAGCCUUUAAAACCAGGAAAAGACAACACUUGUGUCAUAUCACGUUAUCCAAACUUUGAGACAACAUCUAGCCUCACAUAUCAAUGUCGAUGCAAUAUUGAUAUAUUGCACACCCCUACUGCAGUAUGUGACGGUUUACGGCUUACGGUCAGUUCGGUGUGGUGCUAUGGUUGUUGUACAAACCAACCAGACAAAGAGUUUGCAAGGCUGUGAUCAAGAUGCAUGCCCAGAAAAUCCUAUAUUUCGGAUGAUUAAAGACUUGGGUAUCAAAAGGUUUCGGAAUAUGUAGAAACGUCGCCACGCCAACAAGAAGGUAGUUGAAGGAGUGA